rnacentral:rRNA from 1 species
UCCAGACUCCUACGGGAGGCAGCAGUGGGGGAUAUUGCACAAUGGGGGGAACCCUGAUGCAGCGACGCCGCGUGGGUGAAGGAGUGCUUCGGCAUGUAAAGCCCUAUCGGCAGGGAAGAAGCAAGACGGUACCUGACUAAGAAGCUCCGGCUAACUACGUGCCAGCAGCCGCGGUAAUACGGAGGAUGCGAGCGUUAUCCGGAUUUAUUGGGUUUAAAGGGUGCGCAGGCGGAUUUUUAAGUCAGCGGUCAAAUCGUGGGGCUCAACCCCAUCCAGCCGUUGAAACUGGGGGUCUAGAGUGUGCGAGAGGUAUGCGGAAUGCGUGGUGUAGCGGUGAAAUGCAUAGAUGUCACGCAGAACCCCGAUUGCGAAGGCAGCAUACCGGUGCACAACUGACGCUCAGGCACGAAAGCGUGGGUAUCGAACAGGAUUAGAUACCCCCGUAU